UAAGGAAUAUUGCUCAAUGGGAGAAAUCCUGAAGCAGCAACGCCGCGUGGAGGAUGAAGGGUCUAUGACUUGUAAACUCCUGUAAAGAAGGAGAAAAUUCCCAUUUGAUGGGAGAUGAUGGUACUUCUGGAGUAAGCCCCGGCUAACUACGUGCCAGCAGCCGCGGUAAUACGUAGGGGGCAAGCGUUGUCCGGAUUUACUGGGCGUAAAGGGCGUCUAGGUGGGACGUCAAGCGGGGUGUGAAAGCUCCUGGCUUAACUGGGAGAGUGCGCUCUGAACUGACGACCUAGAGGGCAGGCGACGGAGGUGGAAUUCCCGGUGGAGUGGUGAAAUGCGUAGAGAUCGGGAGGAACACCAGUGGCGAAGGCGGCCUCCGAGCCUGAACCUGACGCUGAAGCGCGAGAGCGUGGGGAGCAAACG
rnacentral:rRNA from 1 species